rnacentral:rRNA from 1 species
UACGUAGGUGGCAAGCGUUGUCCGGAUUUACUGGGCGUAAAGGGCGUGCAGGCGGUCUGUUAAGUCUAGGGUGAAAGCUCCCGGCUCAACUGGGAGAGGUCCUUGGAUACUGGCGGACUUGAGGGAGGCAGAGGAAAGUGGAAUUCCCGGUGUAGUGGUGAUAUGCGUAGAUAUCGGGAGGAACACCAGUGGCGAAGGCGGCUUUCUGGGCCUUACCUGACGCUGAGACGCGAAAGCGUGGGGGAGCGAACCGG